GGGAAGCUCCAUAUCCAAUUCCUCAGUGCCAUUUUUCUGUGCAUCAAGCUUCUCGGCAAAAUCAUCAGGCAAAGAAACACACAUCUUCCUUUGAACAUCCUCUUCAUCUGCUACAAUAACAUACUGAUCUAUAACUUCAUAUUUCCUAGUGACAGGAGGAACCAGACUUGCUUUUGUCAUGCGAGCACCCCAUUCACGAUCAUCUGAU
rnacentral:misc_RNA from 1 species